AUGGUAUUUUUUACGAGCUACAAUUUUUGUACUCUCUACCAGAAAGUUGUUUGGCCAGCUUUGAUGUCACGCUUGCAAUAGCAGGAGAAAGAGAUCACUGGAGCCUUUUGGAUCUGAGUCAGUGGAAUCAGCUACUGUUUCUGUGUGGACCACUCUAUACUACCAGAGAUGAGGAAAGACUUGCUACGUUGGCAUAUAGCAGCGGAGGGAUACAGUCAGGAGGUGACAGGGUUAACAUCACAGGGCUGGUGGUAGGUAUCCUCUUUGGCACUGCGGCCAUAGCCCUGGUGGUCCUAGGCAGCUGGUUUGUCCUCAAGAAGUUCUACUGGACAGGCCCCAUUCCUUUGACUGACAGGUGUCUUGGCCAAUGACCAUCUACCAACCAACCUGUCCACCUCCGAGCUGCCCAAUCUGACAAGGUGUGUUUCAGAUUUCUCAUGAUGUCAAUACUUUUGUAGACAAAACAACUAGAACACCUUGAGCGUAUCCUAAGAAAAUAAGUGGACACUAGUGUCUCAUUCUACUUUUGUUUAUAGAUUAAGCUAAUUAAUUCCUGAUAUGGAAUAUCAAUUACAUGUUAUGAAGGAACAUCUGUAAACGCCUGAACCAUGUUGAUCGCAAUAUUUCACCUUUCGUACUAAUUAUAUAAUGUGGACACCUGCUCAUUGAACAUCUCCUUCCAAAAUCAUAGGCAUUAAUAUGGAGUUGGUCCCCCCCUUUGCUGAUAUAAUAACCUCCACUCUUCUGGGAAGGCUUUCCAGUAGAUGUUGGAACAUUGCUGCAGGGACCAUUCAGCCACAGGAGCAUUAGUGAUAUCGGGCACUGAUGUUGGGCGAUUAGGCCUUGCUUGCAGUCGGCGUUCCAAUUCAUCCCAAAGGUGUUCGAUGGGGUUAAGGUCAGGGCUUUGUGCAGGCCAGUCAAUUUCUUCCACACCGAUCUCAACAAACCUUUCUGUAUGAACAUCGCUUUGUGCAUGUGGGCACUCUCAUGCUGAAACAGAAAAGGGCCAUCCUCAAACUGUUGCCACAAAGUUGGAAGCACAGAAUUUUCUAUAAUAUAAUUUUAUGCUGUAGCAUUAAGAUUUCCCUUCAAAAUGCAGCGGCUCGGCCAUGGAAACCGAUUUCAUGAAGCUCUCUAAGAACGGUUCUUGUGCUAAAGUUGUUUCCAGAGGCAGUUUGGAACUCGGUAGUGAGUGCAGCAACAGAGGACAGGCGGUUUUUACACGCUACGCGCUUCAGCACUCUGUGGUACCAUUCUGUGAGCUUGUGUGGCCUAACACUUCACGGCUGAGCCGUUGUUGUUCCUAGACUUUUCCACUUCACAAUAACUGCACUUACAGUUGACCGGGGCAGCUCUAGAAGGGCAGAAAUGUGAUGAACUGACUUGACGGAAAGAUGGCUGUUACGUCCUGACCAGUUUAGAUAUUAUUUGUAUUGUAGUUUGGUCAGGACGUGUCAGAGGGUAUUUGUGUGUGAUUUGUUAGUUCUGGGUGUUGGGUAUGUUCUAGGUUGUAUUUUCUACGUUCUGUUCAGUUUUUCUAUGUUUAGGUUUGGGUGUGGACUCUCAAUUGGAGGCAGGUGUUUCUAUUUUCCUCUGAGUCCUAUAUAUAGGUAUGUGUUUGGGGUUGUUGAUUGUGGGUAGUUGUAUUUUGCACUGCUGUUAUUUAUUUAGCCUGUGAAACUGUCGAUCUGUCAUUUUCUUGUGUUUUUCGUGUUCACUAAUUAUUAUUAAAUAUUAUGAUGAACAUGCAACCCGCUGUGCCUUGGUCCUCUCUCUCCUACGACAGUCGUUACAGAACUACCCACCAACAAUGGACCAAGCAGCGGAGGAGGGAACAACAGGUGGAAUAUCGUGAGUCAUGGACUUGGGAGGAGAUUCUGGCUGGAGAGGGCCCAUGGAGGAAGUCUGGGGAGGACCGGAAUCGCUACUGGGGAACACGGCUGGCGAGGAAGCCGGAGAGGCAACCCCAAUAAUUUUCUUUGGGGGGCACACGGGUAGGUUGGCUGGGCGAGGAUUAAGUCCCAAGCCAAAUCCCCAUGUUUUUUCCAAACAACCAUUGACUGGACAGGUCCCGUGCUUUGGGGUGAUGGGUGCUGUGACGAGGCCGGGUAUUUUCAGGCCGGUAUGCGCAGUACCAGCGCCCCGCAUGUGCCAGAGGAAAGUGGGCAUCCAGCCAGUAGGGGUGAUGUCAGUCCUGCGCUCGAGACCGCCAGUGCGCCUCUACGGUCCAGUGUUUCCCGUUACACGCACUAGCCUUGAGGUGCGUGUCUCCAGGCUGGCACGUCCAGUACCAACACCACGCAUCAGGCUUCCAGUGCAUCAGCCCAGUCCGACUCAGCCUGUUCCCGCUCCUCGCACUAGCCCGGAGGUGCGUGUCCCCAAACUGGCACUUCCAGUACCAGCACCACGCAUCAGGCUUCCAAUGCGUCAGACCAGGUCAGAGUGUCCGGCAACAGUGCCUCGUCCAGAGUGUCCGGCAACAGUGCCUCGUCCAGAGUGUCCGGCAACAGUGCCUCGUCCAGAGUGUCCGGCGACAGUGCCUCGUCCAGAGUGUCCGGCAACAGGUGAGACGGCGUACUGUCCGGAACCAGGGGAGACGGCCCGCGACCCGGAACCAGGGGAGACGGCCCGCGACCCGGAACCGAGUGAGUCUGCCUGCGGUCCGGAUCAGAAUGAAGUUUACUAUAACUUUGAACUAUGUGAGUCUGCCUACAGCUCGGAACUAAAUGAGUCUGCCUACGGCCCGGAACCAAGUGAAUCUGCCUACGGCCCGGAGUCAAGAAAGCCUGCCUACAGUCUGGAGGACAGUAGGCCAGAACCUAAGCCACCUCCAGUAUAGGUGGGUUGGGGAGGGGGGGGGGUGUAGCACAGGUACCGUCGUUGACGGCAGCCACCCCCCCUUCCCUCCCUUUAGUUAGGGGUUUAUUUUUUUAUUUUUUUUGAGGUGCAUCCGGGGUCUGCACCUUUAGGGGGGGGGUAGUGACACAGCCACACC
rnacentral:lncRNA from 1 species